rnacentral:lncRNA from 1 species
AGCAGUGAAACACAAGAAGGUGAAUUUGACAAAACAAUGAACAAUUCUUCAUAUAUCAUUUCAGAUAUUGUCCUACAACCUUUAUUGGAGACAAUUUGACGGUGCCAAGAAACCAUCUUGAAGCAUAAUGCAGAAUAAAUUAACCAUGGCCUUUUGGAUUAGGAAAUCUGUGCUGCUCCUCAUCCCCUUUUCCUUCCAUAAAGAAAGAUAUGUGCUGAUGGUCUUCCCAAGAGAAAAUGAAUCCCAUGGAACUUAUCCCACGGUGAGAUGCGGCAACCAGGGCUCCAUGGAGAGGCUGCAUUUCAGUUCCAGCAAAGCAGUUUACCCUCUGAGGCCCUCGCUGUCAGCUCAGCGCUCAAACAUCCGUGCCCUGCUGUCGGGCCUGACAGUCUUCAAUUGUUCAUUCUCUGAUUCCACCUCACCAGUUAAUGGAAGUGAAUCUUCUGAGGGGGAGAGAGACCGUCCCUAUUGA